AGGCCGUGGAAGAUUUAGAAUCAAGUCCUAGUGGGUCAACACACGAUAUCAGACACUUAAAUCAUUCAAUUAUUCACAGCAGAAUUUAUGGUUCAGUGGAAGCCUUGGAGGGAGAGCAGAGAGUUCAGAGAAAUAGAAGGUUUAGAAUAGAAACAUGUGAUCAUCCAGAGGAGUGUCCGGAUAUUCCUCCUACUCCAGUUCUUGAGAACCCGGACCACAGCACUAAAUGGUAUUAUAAAUAUUUCCUGGGAAAACUGCAUAGGAACUAUAUUGGACAAGAUUCUAACAAGAAUAUAUUUAUUCUCUCAAUAUUAGAGG